CCACUGAAGCAGAUGCAGGGCAGCUGAGAAGAGCGGUUGGUUUCAGAGGCUCCAAUUCCUCAUGGUGGGCACCUUCCUCCUUCUCUUGGCGGGAGGCUGGAGGUGGUUGAGGUCUGUGCUGUCCACCGCUGGCUGCCAGCUCAGCUCAGCUUGGGAGAGUUGUCACCAGUCUCUGGCUCCAAGCAGGUUUGGUAGGAAGCAACUGCCUACUUAUGAAGAUUUAUGGAGAAGCCGACAGACAUUAGGCUCCGACGCAGACCUCAGACAUUUUAUGCCAGUCAUCUGAAAUCUUGGAGAAAGCCUGCGAGGUGAGCACCAUCAUCUCUCCGCUGCUCCUACAGCAGCACGAGGCUCAAAGAGGCUAAAUAACCCACAGCUGGCCUCACAGCUAGACACCUGACUCAUGUCACAGUUCCUCAGCUGCUGGUUGUGCUAAUUUAGGAGGCCACAGAACCUUUAGGAAGUGUUGGGGGCUAGCUCUUAGAAGCAGGACAACAAGACUUUGAAGGGUCCAUCUCCAGCUGGUUCCAGUGGCUCUCCACUUCCUGGUCUCCUGGGAUGUGGGAGCCGCACUCUGCCACCGUGAACUCUGCCAGGCCUUCCCCAGCACAGCAGGUGAAAACCUCAGAAACCGGGAGCCAAGAUAAAGCUAUCCUUCCUUCUGUUGUUUCUGCCUGGUAUUUUGGUCACAGAGAUGCAACAGCAGCUUGUCCACGUGAGUGGGGGACAGGAUGUUAAUUCCAAAGCAUUCAUGACGAAAGCUGGAGCCUUUGGCAGCAGAGACCAUUCUCUCAAGGAUUCAAGAUCUACCGAAAGAGGGCUCAACUAUCAGGAGCACAUUCAAGGAACUGUCUUGGUUUUGAGUCUUAGAACUACUUUGUGCUGUUUCUACUGUGGACUGUGCACUGUAGUACCCAAUGGCUCUUUUAUCACAGGACAGUUCCGGGGACCUACAUGAGUUCUGCAUGCUUCAGCGUGAGGAAGUUAUAGGGGAACCGAAGAGCUGGCGGGACUUACUUCACAGAGAGGCAGAACUGAAUGAACGGAAUCCCCUUCGCCUCCGUGGGAUGCCUUCACUCUUGAGGGUUUGUGAUUUAGAGUCCAGCCUUAGACACAGGUUUUUAGGAAUCUAUAAAAAUGGAUGAGAAUUGAAAACUUUAUUGGCCCCUAAAGAAAAACUAUGAAAUUGAAUUAAUAAAAUUUCAAUUUGUGGAAAUGGC